rnacentral:tRNA from 1 species
UGGGAUGUUGCCAAGCGGUAAGGCACCAGACUUUGACUCUGGUAUUCGCAGGUCCGAAUCCUGCCAUCCCAGCCA